rnacentral:rRNA from 1 species
AGAGUUUGAUCAUGGCUCAGGACGAACGCUGGCGGCGUGCCUAAUACAUGCAAGUCGAGCGAAUCAAUAGGAGCUUGCUCCUGUUGGUUAGCGGCGGACGGGUGAGUAACACGUGGGCAACCUGCCUGUAAGACUGGGAUAACUUCGGGAAACCGGAGCUAAUACCGGAUAAUCCUUUUCCUCUCAUGAGGGAAAGCUGAAAGACGGUUUCGGCUGUCACUUACAGAUGGGCCCGCGGCGCAUUAGCUAGUUGGUGAGGUAACGGCUCACCAAGGCGACGAUGCGUAGCCGACCUGAGAGGGUGAUCGGCCACACUGGGACUGAGACACGGCCCAGACUCCUACGGGAGGCAGCAGUAGGGAAUCUUCCACAAUGGACGAAAGUCUGAUGGAGCAACGCCGCGUGAGCGAUGAAGGCCUUCGGGUCGUAAAGCUCUGUUGUUAGGGAAGAACAAGUAUCGGAGUAACUGCCGGUACCUUGACGGUACCUAACCAGAAAGCCACGGCUAACUACGUGCCAGCAGCCGCGGUAAUACGUAGGUGGCAAGCGUUGUCCGGAAUUAUUGGGCGUAAAGCGCGCGCAGGCGGUCCUUUAAGUCUGAUGUGAAAGCCCACGGCUCAACCGUGGAGGGUCAUUGGAAACUGGGGGACUUGAGUACAGAAGAGGAAAGCGGAAUUCCACGUGUAGCGGUGAAAUGCGUAGAGAUGUGGAGGAACACCAGUGGCGAAGGCGGCUUUCUGGUCUGUAACUGACGCUGAGGCGCGAAAGCGUGGGGAGCAAACAGGAUUAGAUACCCUGGUAGUCCACGCCGUAAACGAUGAGUGCUAAGUGUUAGGGGUUUCCGCCCCUUAGUGCUGCAGCUAACGCAUUAAGCACUCCGCCUGGGGAGUACGGCC